AACGAACGCUGGCGGCAUGCCUAACACAUGCGAGUCGAACGAGACCUUCGGGUCUAGUGGCGCACGGGUGCGUAACGCGUGGGAACCUGCCCUUAGGUUCGGAAUAACUCCCCGAAAGGGGUGCUAAUACCGGAUAAUGUCUUCGGACCAAAGAUUUAUCGCCUUUGGAUGGGCCCGCGUUGGAUUAGCUAGUUGGUAGGGUAAAAGCCUACCAAGGCGACGAUCCAUAGCUGGUCUGAGAGGAUGAUCAGCCACACUGGGGCUGAGACACGGCCCAGACUCCUACGGGAGGCAGCAGUGGGGAAUAUUGGACAAUGGGCGAAAGCCUGAUCCAGCAAUGCCGCGUGAGUGAUGAAGGCCUUAGGGUUGUAAAGCUCUUUUACCCGGGAUGAUAAUGACAGUACCGGGAGAAUAAGCGCCGGCUAACUCCGUG
rnacentral:rRNA from 1 species